rnacentral:rRNA from 1 species
AUGGAUACACUCCCAGAAUACAUGGGACGUAUAAACGCAAGGCAUUUGGAGUUAUACUGUAGCAUUGCGCUGCUAACUUCCGUUGCCGCUGCACAGUCUGGCCCUGAGUGGGACAAGUUCAGCCAUUUUAAUCAUGUCAAAGCAUAUGCACCUGAAGGAGAUAAUACAAAGAAAUGGUACGUCUUCUACACAGUUGAUCCCUACAACUUGGAGACAAAUGUCAGCCAUUCUUUCAUGUCCAGAGGAACCUUGACUUCUUUUGAGGACGCACAGGGAUUUGAGUCUCUCUUCAAAAUGACGAGAAAAACAUUUAGCUACAUCUGUAGCUUGGUGAUGGGUCCAUCAAUGGAAGAUAUGAACAGAUACACCUUUGUUGACGAGAGGGUGAUGUCUUUAGAAGAUCGGGUAGCCGUUUCUAUUAGAAGGUUGCAGUCUAAUGAGCCAACAGAGAGCAUAGCAUCCUCUGUUGGUGUGAACGAGUCGAUAAUCUUGUUGGUAACUGAGAGGUUCGUUGAAGCUAUGUGGGAGCCGGCGCGGCACCACUCGAACUGGACAGACUCGAGUGAAAAGGAUCAAAUCAAAUCCUACAAUAUGCAUAACUGUUGUGGUGUUAUAUGUACAACUCGCAUCCCAUUUGGACCAAACUGGGACCAUGAGAAGAAUGGUAGCACACUGAUGCAAGUUCUCAUUGAUCCAGUGAUGAGGUUUAGAAACAUUUGGCUCGGAUCAGCAGGUAUGAACCAGUCGAGCCUUUUGCAAGAUUCUGCACUCUUCAAGGAGUGCGAGAAGGGCAGUUUGCUGAAUGGCAGCAAGCUGAAGGUGGGAUUAGAUGGAUCAGAAGUCGGGGAGUACAUAAUUGGUGAUGCAGGAUAUCCUCUUCUCCCAUGGUUACUCACACCUUACCAGGAAGAAGAUCUCUCAGAUUUCAAGGCAGAGUUCAACAGGAGACACUCCACUGCCAUAACCCAUGCUCUGAAGGCGCUCGCAAGGCUCAAAGAUGCAUGGAAGUGGCUGCAGGGAGAGUCGUGGUGGCCAGCCAAUCUGGAAUCUCAAAGUAAAAUAAUAUAUGCCUGCUGCUGGUUGCAUAACAUAGUCAUAGAAAUGGAGGAUGAUGCAGCCAUGCUGAGCACCAAGCGGAGGAAUUACUCCAAGGAAGUGCGCGAGAUAGCAAAGGAGGACGCUGUCAGGGCGAGGGAUCUGCUGUCGCAGCACUUCUUGGCCAGCAGGUCAUCCGAAGUGGGAGAGGAGGGUGAUGAAGCAGCUUCAUCAGGCUCAGGGGCUGAAAAGAAGAAACAAGAAGCGCAGACAAGAACAACAGAUGAAGAGAUAUCAAUAUUAACUAGCUAA